GGGAAUAUUGGACAAUGGGCGAAAGCCUGAUCCAGCCAUGCCGCGUGUGUGAAGAAGGUCUUCGGAUUGUAAAGCACUUUCGACGGGGACGAUGAUGACGGUACCCGUAGAAGAAGCCCCGGCUAACUUCGUGCCAG
rnacentral:rRNA from 1 species